UGAAUAAUAGUUAAAAUUAUAACAUUUAAUUUGCAUUUAAAAAUUAUUUUUAAUUAA
rnacentral:tRNA from 1 species